CAAGGAAAUUGUACACGUUUGAGAUGACUGUUGUAACUUACCCUUCUGCCUGGUCACAGGAAAUGGUGUCAUUUCUUAAAAAGGAGUGCAAUUUUGACCAAUUACUUUUUACUGGAAGAACUUCAAGAAUAGCUAUGAAGCAUAUGAAGAGGUCUUAUUCCGAGUGAUCCUGAUGCUAGUCAAGGAAGGGAAUGACUGGUUAGAAUCAAUGCCCACACCUGAGAAUUGUGCUUGAGAUAGAUUCUCCUGAAGACACAGGGCUUCACAGGAAGGAGAGAUAAUUAUUGGAUGGAAAACAGAACUGAGAAGAGAAAUCACUUGUGUCCCAGCACCAUUUGUUGAAAAGGAUAUUCUUUCCCUGUUGAAAUAAUGUCUUGGCACCCAAACUGAAAAUGAAUUCACCUCAGGUCAUAUUCAAUCUUUUAAAAUUUCUCUUAGAAGAAGAUAGGGGGUGUGAGUGGAAGAGUAAAGAAAAAUUACAUCAUACAAAAAAUUGGAAUAAGGAAGAGGUGAUAAAAGAAAAUGACCUUGGAAAUCCAUCUACA
rnacentral:lncRNA from 10 species